CCCUUCCCGCUGGUGGCUGGGCGGCCUACAAGGAGAUGAGGACCCGCGGGAGAAAAUGGCUGCGGGCUCUUAGCACUUGGGGACUUCUGCGCCUCGCAACCCGACGACAAGGGCUUCCAGACCCCCUGCGGCAGGUGCUGGGCGAGGCAAAGCUGCGCUUCCUCUGCAACUAGCCCGCCGCUUCCCUCCCUGCGCCCCCUCCCCCAGCCCCGAGCGCGGACCUGGAGCGGAGAGGAGGGGGCAGUGCCUCGAACCCGGGGCCGCAGUCGAGGGGCGCGCGUCGUUGCUCUGGGACUCACUGCCGACCAACCCCCAUUCCUCAGGUGCUCGGCCCCUUCCCCAAGGCGCAGGACGUAGAGCCUGGGCGGGGCCCCCUCCCCAGCAGCAGUCAGCGGACCUGCACGAGUCAGACUACACUUCUGGUGCACCUGGGACCUUGGUGCGCUGGGUUGAGGGCUUAGGGGUGGUUCUGGUUGGGGUGGCGCUUUGGAACUGUGCGCAGGAGCCGAUGAAUUCCCCCGAGUGUGUGUUUUCUGUAUGUGUCUCCGUCUGUGCAGAAAGCCGAGCCAACCACUAGACCUCUGUGAAUGGGGAGAGCUUCACCCUCCAAAAUAUCCAGUUGGUCCCCUCUCCCAUAGCAACUCCAGGUUUUAUAAAUAAUAAUCUUUGAGACCCGGUGCGAUGGCUCACGCCUGUAAUCCUAGCACCUGGGAGGAGGGGCGGGCGGGUCACUUGAGCCCGAGUUGGAGUUCAAUAAGGCCAAAAGUGUAAACAACCCAAAUGCCCACCAACUGAUGAAUGACUAGACAGAAUGUGAUAUAUCCAUAUAAUCAUAUAUUAUUCAGCAAUACAAAGGAUUGCGUUGCUGAUAUGGGCUACAACAUGGGUGAACCUCAGAAGCACUACUAUUAUAGGAAAGCGGUCACUAUCCACACCCCAAGAGAGGGCUCUUGGCUCUCUCGCAAGAAAGAAUUUAGGGCGAGGUCCAUAGUGCAAAGCAAAAGCAAGUUUAUUAAGAAAUAAAGAAAUAAAAGAAUAGCUACUCCAUAGACAGAGGGCUGCUGGUUGCCCAUGUUAAUGGUUAUUUCUUGAUGAUCUACUAAACAACGGGUGGAUUAUUUAUGCCUCCCCUUUUUAGACCAUUUAGGGUAACUUCCUGAUGUUGUCAUAGCAUUUGUAAACUGUCAUGGCGCUUUUAGGAGUAUAGCAGUGAGGACAACCAGAGGUCACUCUUGUCGCCAUCUUGGUUUUGGUGGGUUUUAGCUGGCUUCUUUACUGCAACUUGUUUUAUCAGCAAGGUCUUUAUGACCUGUAUCUUGUGCCAACCUCCUAUGUCAUUCUGUGACUUAGAAUAGCUUAACCCUCUGGGAAUGUAGCCCAGUAGGUCUCAGCCUCAUUUUACCCAGCUCUUAUUUAAAAUGGAGUUGCUCUGGGUCACAUGCCUCUGACAUGAUAAGUGAAAGAAGCCAAUCAUACACAUACAAACAAAUACAUACUGCAUGCCUGCAAUGUGAAAUGUCCAGAAUAGGCAAACUAUAUAGAGAAAAAGUAGAACAGUGGUUGCCUAGGACUGCAAGGUGGCAGGGUAGGAUUAUGGAAUGGCUACUAAUGGGCAUAAGUUUUCUUUUGGGGAUGAUGAAAAUGUUCUAGAAUUAGAUUGUAGUGAUGGUUGUAUAAAAACUACUGAAUUGUACACUUUAAACUGUGAGCUCUAUAAUACAUGAUUUAUAUCUCAAUAAAGGUGUUAGAAAAAGAAAGCGCCUGGCGUGGUGGCUCACGCCUGUAAUCCCAGCACUUUGGGAGGCCAAGAUGGGUGGAUUGCCUGAGUCUAGGAGUUCAAGACCAGCCUGGCUAACAUGGUGAAACCCCGUCUCUACUAAAAAUACAAAAAUUAGCUGGGCGUGGUGGUUGGCGCCUGUAAUCCCAGCUACUCAGGAGGCUGAGGCAGGAGAAUCGCUGGAACCCAGGAGGUGGAGGUUGCAUUGAGCUGAGAUUGCAACAUUGCACUCCAGACUGGGCAACAAGAAUGAAACUCCGUCUCAAAAAAAAAAAAAUAAAAAAAAAA
ensembl:lncRNA